rnacentral:rRNA from 1 species
GAAUUUCGACCUGAGCUCAAGCGUGAAUACCCGCUGAACUUAAGCAUAUCAGUAAGCGGAGGAAAAGAAACUAACAAGGAUUCCCUUAGUAACGGCGAGUGAAA